AGAACGGCGUACGCUGGUGGUGUGCCUAAUAAAUGCAGGGAGAGCGGAAGGAUGGGAACUUGCUCCCUUGAGUAAUACGUGCGUGACUGGUGAGUUAAACGUGAGUAACCUGGCCUGUAAGGACUGUGAUAACUUCCGUUGACACCGUGACUAGAUACCGUGAAGUGUUGUUUGAACCGCAUGUGUUUCCUACAUAAAAAGUGUGAGCUUUCGGCUUAGAACUUAAAUGAUGUGACCCGCGUGCGCAUUAGCUAGUUGAGUUAUGUAAAUUAGCUUAUCCAAGAGCGACGAAUGCGUUGCCGACCUGGUGAUUGUGAAUCUUGCAAAACUGUAGACUGAUGAAAAGUGCCAUAAUUCCUAGUGAUUGAUGCAUUAGUGAUAUCUUUCCGAAUGAAACGAAAAUUUUGGAGUGAACAAACGGCCGGCGUGAUUGAAGAUGAGUCCUUCGGGAAUCGUAAAAGGCUUCUGGUUGGUUAGGGGAAAUGAAACAAGGUAACCCGUUUUCGAAAUAGGGGGCGGGUAACCUUUGGACGGGUAACCUAAAACCAUAGAAAAUGGCCAACGGGCUUAAACUAACGUUGCCCAAGCAUGCCGGGGUUAAAAAAUAAAAAAA
rnacentral:rRNA from 1 species